CCGCUCGGUGUUGAUGAAGAGUGCCCAGCAAGGGAAGCAGAACAGGAGCAGGAUGAGGAUCCCUCGCUGCAGGAUGGUGCCCACCUGCUUCAGGUUCUUGCCGCCAUACGUCUGUGUGAGGACAGAGGAGCAAGGGGAGAAGCAGAGUAAUACAUACAGACACAGCCAGCGUCACGGCAUCCAGCUCGGCUUUUCCCAGAUGGCCGCAGAAUAUGGAGCUGACCACGUUGAUCAGGAACCCCAGCAGCUGGGCUAUAAACUAGGAUGGGAGGAGGAAGGGUGAGAGAUGCUAAGUCCAGCCUGCUCGUUCCUUGCCAGGGGCUACAGCAAGGCUUGGCGAUGCUCUCAGGGAGACUAUGUUCACAGUCUCAUUUUCCCUUGGCAAGAGGACAGCUCCUCUCCAGCACACGAGGCGCAGAGCUGUGGCACAGCUUGGACUGGAUAGGAAGAGCUAGAGACCCACUGCUGACAGGCGGGCAUGGCUGGGGACCAUGGGGCUGCUCUUGCUCCUUUCCUCCCAGCAGUCAGCAAGCCCAGACCUCUGGAGAAUCAGCUCCUGCGGGGUCUGAGGAAGAACCUAACAAAACCUUCUCCUGCCCCGACCUCCCGCUGCUGUCUACGGAUGCGGCAUGCUCUCAGGCCCCGACAUGUCUAAGCAGUGAGUAAUCCCCGCAGGAGAGGUCUGUACAACCACGAUUGCUCCAGCACAGGGUUUGACACGAGAUGAGCGAGAACUAAUGAGACCUACACCUGGAAGACAGCUGUAGGUUUGGUUUUGAGGUUAUCGACGCCCACAGAGCAGCACACUGUGCCAAAGGUAGAAGCGUUGGGGGCACGGGAGUAGGGCUGAUGCAUUCUGUGACAGGAACAGAAACCAGUCAACCAGUCGUUACUUCCUCUGCUGCCCCGUCGCACCACACCAGGUCGGUGCGAGAUGUCACCGAGGGCAUCUCAGCGCUGUCCUGCAGCUGGCCCUUAGCUACCACAUGGAGCAGAAGGCUCCAGUCACAAAGCUUCGUGUCUGAGGGAUUCAGGCGAGGGUCUGUUCCUGCCCUUGGAUGAGGACCCUGCUGAGGGCUGUGCCGCCAGACCUGGGCUGGGAGAUGAUGGGAAGGGGCUGCCAGAGCCAGCGCUGGCUCUGUGGG